rnacentral:rRNA from 1 species
AGAUUAAGUUAUUAAGGGCGCACGGUGGAUGCCUUGGCACUAGAAGCCGAUGAAGGACGUUACUAACGACGAUAUGCUUUGGGGAGCUGUAAGUAAGCUUUGAUCCAGAGAUUUCCGAAUGGGGAAACCCAGCAUGAGUUAUGUCAUGUUAUCGAUAUGUGAAUACAUAGCAUAUCAGAAGGCACACCCGGAGAACUGAAACAUCUUAGUACCCGGAGGAAGAGAAAGAAAAUUCGAUUCCCUUAGUAGCGGCGAGCGAAACGGGAAGAGCCCAAACCAACAAGCUUGCUUGUUGGGGUUGUAGGACACUCUAUACGGAGUUACAAAGGACGACAUUAGACGAAUCAUCUGGAAAGAUGAAUCAAAGAAGGUAAUAAUCCUGUAGUCGAAAAUGUUGUCUCUCUUGAGUGGAUCCUGAGUACGACGGAGCACGUGAAAUUCCGUCGGAAUCUGGGAGGACCAUCUCCUAAGGCUAAAUACUCUCUAGUGACCGAUAGUGAACCAGUACCGUGAGGGAAAGGUGAAAAGCACCCCGGAAGGGGAGUGAAAUAGAACCUGAAACCGUGUGCUUACAAGUAGUCAGAGCCCGUUAAUGGGUGAUGGCGUGCCUUUUGUAGAAUGAACCGGCGAGUUACGAUUUGAUGCAAGGUUAAGCAGUAAAUGUGGAGCCGUAGCGAAAGCGAGUCUGAAUAGGGCGUUUAGUAUUUGGUCGUAGACCCGAAACCAGGUGAUCUACCCUUGGUCAGGUUGAAGUUCAGGUAACACUGAAUGGAGGACCGAACCGACUUACGUUGAAAAGUGAGCGGAUGAACUGAGGGUAGCGGAGAAAUUCCAAUCGAACCUGGAGAUAGCUGGUUCUCUCCGAAAUAGCUUUAGGGCUAGCCUCAAGUGAUGAUUAUUGGAGGUAGAGCACUGUUUGGACGAGGGGCCCCUCUCGGGUUACCGAAUUCAGACAAACUCCGAAUGCCAAUUAAUUUAACUUGGGAGUCAGAACAUGGGUGAUAAGGUCCGUGUUCGAAAGGGAAACAGCCCAGACCACCAGCUAAGGUCCCAAAAUAUAUGUUAAGUGGAAAAGGAUGUGGCGUUGCCCAGACAACUAGGAUGUUGGCUUAGAAGCAGCCAUCAUUUAAAGAGUGCGUAAUAGCUCACUAGUCGAGUGACACUGCGCCGAAAAUGUACCGGGGCUAAACAUAUUACCGAAGCUGUGGAUUGUCCUUUGGACAAUGGUAGGAGAGCGUUCUAAGGGCGUUGAAGCAUGAUCGUAAGGACAUGUGGAGCGCUUAGAAGUGAGAAUGCCGGUGUGAGUAGCGAAAGACGGGUGAGAAUCCCGUCCACCGAUUGACUAAGGUUUCCAGAGGAAGGCUCGUCCGCUCUGGGUUAGUCGGGUCCUAAGCUGAGGCCGACAGGCGUAGGCGAUGGAUAACAGGUUGAUAUUCCUGUACCACCUAUAAUCGUUUUAAUCGAUGGGGGGACGCAGUAGGAUAGGCGAAGCGUGCGAUUGGAUUGCACGUCUAAGCAGUAAGGCUGAGUAUUAGGCAAAUCCGGUACUCGUUAAGGCUGAGCUGUGAUGGGGAGAAGACAUUGUGUCUUCGAGUCGUUGAUUUCACACUGCCGAGAAAAGCCUCUAGAUAGAAAAUAGGUGCCCGUACCGCAAACCGACACAGGUAGUCAAGAUGAGAAUUCUAAGGUGAGCGAGCGAACUCUCGUUAAGGAACUCGGCAAAAUGACCCCGUAACUUCGGGAGAAGGGGUGCUCUUUAGGGUUAACGCCCAGAAGAGCCGCAGUGAAUAGGCCCAAGCGACUGUUUAUCAAAAACACAGGUCUCUGCUAAACCGUAAGGUGAUGUAUAGGGGCUGACGCCUGCCCGGUGCUGGAAGGUUAAGAGGAGUGGUUAGCUUCUGCGAAGCUACGAAUCGAAGCCCCAGUAAACGGCGGCCGUAACUAUAACGGUCCUAAGGUAGCGAAAUUCCUUGUCGGGUAAGUUCCGACCCGCACGAAAGGCGUAACGAUUUGGGCACUGUCUCAACGAGAGACUCGGUGAAAUCAUAGUACCUGUGAAGAUGCAGGUUACCCGCGACAGGACGGAAAGACCCCGUGGAGCUUUACUGUAGCCUGAUAUUGAAAUUCGGCACAGCUUGUACAGGAUAGGUAGGAGCCUUUGAAACGUGAGCGCUAGCUUACGUGGAGGCGCUGGUGGGAUACUACCCUAGCUGUGUUGGCUUUCUAACCCGCACCACUUAUCGUGGUGGGAGACAGUGUCAGGCGGGCAGUUUGACUGGGGCGGUCGCCUCCUAAAAGGUAACGGAGGCGCUCAAAGGUUCCCUCAGAAUGGUUGGAAAUCAUUCAUAGAGUGUAAAGGCAUAAGGGAGCUUGACUGCGAGACCUACAAGUCGAGCAGGGUCGAAAGACGGACUUAGUGAUCCGAUGGUUCCGCAUGGAAGGGCCAUCGCUCAACGGAUAAAAGCUACCCCGGGGAUAACAGGCUUAUCUCCCCCAAGAGUUCACAUCGACGGGGAGGUUUGGCACCUCGAUGUCGGCUCAUCGCAUCCUGGGGCUGUAGUCGGUCCCAAGGGUUGGGCUGUUCGCCCAUUAAAGCGGUACGCGAGCUGGGUUCAGAACGUCGUGAGACAGUUCGGUCCCUAUCCGUCGUGGGCGUAGGAAAUUUGAGAGGAGCUGUCCUUAGUACGAGAGGACCGGGAUGGACAUACCUCUGGUGUACCAGUUGUCGUGCCAACGGCAUAGCUGGGUAGCUAUGUGUGGACGGGAUAAGUGCUGAAAGCAUCUAAGCAUGAAGCCCCCCUCAAGAUGAGAUUUCCCAACUUCGGUUAUAAGAUCCCUCAAAGAUGAUGAGGUUAAUAGGUUCGAGGUGGAAGCAUGGUGACAUGUGGAGCUGACGAAUACUAAUCGAUCGAAGACUUAAUCAAAUU